UUCAUUUAAGGCCUGCAACCAACAUUCCACACACAUAUCCUAGAAGUAUAUAAGGACUCAUGAUACACAUAACAUAUUCACCUGCAGUGCAGCAGCUCCUAUAUCAGGGCCAACACCACCAACCUACCUAAAAAUUUUUAAACGAAUCUCUCUCUCACACACACAUGUGUCCACAAACCACCUAUUUUAUAGACAUUUCACACAAAUAGCCCAAGGUUGAAUUUGAAGUUUAAAUGGGAAGGAAUUUCCCACUAUUAAAGUGCUGACAAUAAAUUAUUUUCUUUCUCAAUCCAGAUAUUUCGUUCAAGUUGCUCAUGCUUGAGAAUGCGCAGAACCCAGCUGGAACCUCGGAGGAUAGAGAAAGCGUUAUCAUUCUGUCUUCCUUAAUCGCAACAGCUUUCAUUUAUAGAAACUGUCCAUAUAAAAGUAUUGCAUAUGUAUAUGUCUGCCAUCAUAAUUAUAUAUCAAGUUGACGAAUUUAACACCAAACAGGAUAAUUUAAUGUUACUAAAUAUUCUACAGGUUCUCUUGAUGAUGCAUAAUGCAUAAUUUAGAUUGCGUUUUUUGGCUUAUUUUAGCUGCAUAAAAUGAUUUAGUUUAUGUUUUAAUUGCUUUUUCAAGCCCUUAGAAACAUUUUAGAAGAAUUUUCAACGAUUUUAUUGUGAUAUUGAAUGGUGUGAUUGUUUAUCCCGUCAUUAAUGAAGCAAAAUCAUGGAUCUACAGAGGAAAAAGAAAACAAGUGAAUAUUCAACAAAGAAUUUUCGACUAAUAGUACUCGAAAUAAACACAUGAAUUAUGUCGUCCUCCAACGUAGGCUCCUAUAAGAAAAUGCUGACGGCACGCAUCCCACAGUCGAUUUCCCUGAAGCAGCGUUUUCAGAAACUCCAGCUAAAUCGCCGGUGUUCUCAAGAACCAUAAUAUAAAAGGCAGUCUUAAACUCGCUUUCAGUUCAGUAACAUAUAUUUUUAUCGUAAUUCUCUUCAUAUUUUCCAUUACAUAAAAAAUACUACAGUUAAAGUUUUCUUCUUAAUUUGGAUUUUUUCACAGUACACUACCUGGCAAGAAGUAGCAACCAUCCAAAAUAUUUUUAAUUUAUUUUUUAUGCCGCUCACUGUAUAAAUAUAUUGAAAAAUUUACAUUUGACAGUAGAUUUUAAAAAGUCACUACAUUCUGGUUAUGUAUUUAAAUUUGGCGGGCUUUGCUUUGGUGCAAUUUUCUGUGUGCCAUUUAGCGUAUGCUUUCCUAAUUGUUGUGUUGUGGCCGUGUUUUUGUGAUUUUCAAUAAAUGUUGUGUAUAACAUAAAGAACCUAUUAAUAUAAUGCAUUUGUUCCUAAAUUCUCAAAAGGACGUAAAACAUUUUAAUAGAUGUCUGCCGGCUAUAAACAAUACUAAAUUAACUGCAAGGGAUUUGUUACGAAGUUCAAGUAAUAAAAUUUAUAAUAAAUACACACACAUUAUGCUUAGUUUCUUAUUAAACUUAAAGGAUUAUCAGAUUACUUUCAAAAGCCUAUUUGCCUACAUUUUACUUGAGUAGCGAAACAAUAACUUAAAUAUUUUUAUCCUAACAAGAUUACAACUCCAAAUUUAUUUUUUUUUUUUUUCAUAAUUGUUCUCAAAAUUUGAUUUUUGUGAUGUUAAAUAUUUGAAAUAUGCCAUUUUCAGAAAUACUAGAAAAAUUUGAAAAUUCAUUAGUUCUGAAGUAUCAGUAUGAACUACCUUGAAAUAAUUAAAAUUACGCCCUUUCAAUAAAACUUAAAUUUGCCAGUAUUUUAUGAAGGAUGUCAUAUUAGUAGUUCAACUUCAGACCCCCAGUCAACGUCAAUUUGGUUACAACAAAUAACAUUUAGUGAUCUAAUUAUAGGUGUGUGGGUAUGCCUAUACAAAAAUAUGAAGUAUAAUGUAUGCUGCAUUCCUAUUAUAAAGUUUUAUUUUUAUUUCAAAAGUAAUAUUUCAUGCAAAGACAUGUCUAUAUAUAUUUUAUUUAUACAAGAUGGCUCAAAGUCAUUACAUUUGCACAGAUACACAUUUCUAAAAUAUUUUGAAGUAUACAGCGACAACAUAAAGUAGUUUUUUUAAAUAGGACACCCUCUAUAUUUGUUUACCAAUAAAUUUAGCGUAAAAUUCUGCAUCUUUUCCCAUAAAUUUUAGACGUUGCCAAGUUGGAGCGAAAAAUAUGAGGAUUUGACGAAAAAGUAAACAAUGAAUGUGCCGUUUAAAAUAAUUCUAGUUUUUGUGACAAAAUCAAACCAGUAAUUUUCUACCUUUAAAAACUGUAAUAAAAUAAAUAAGUAUACAAAACACCCGCAACUACUAAGGAAGACGUGAAGAAUAGAAUUAAGGUUUUUCGAACUGCCGAUGUCAAUAUGUUACAUCGUGCUAGUAGAGCUUUUGAAGUUCGCAUUCAUUAUUGUAUGCAAGUAAAUGGUAGUCAUUUUGAACAUUUAAUAAAAUAGUUGUUAUCUAAA